rnacentral:sRNA from 1 species
CAAGAGUCGCAAUCUCGCGAGAGGGAGCUAAUCUCAAAAAGUCAGUCUCAGUUCGGAUUGAAGUCUGCAACUCGACUUCAUGAAGCCGGAAUCACUAGUAAUCGCGAAUCAGCAACGUCGCGGUGAAUACGUUCUCGGGUCUUGUACACACCGCCCGUCACACCAUGAGAGUUGGUAAUACCAGAAGCACGUAUCUUAACCGUAAGGAGAGAGCGUACCAAGGUAGGAUUAGCGAUUAGGGUGAAGUCGUAACAAGGUAUCCGUACGGGAACGUGCGGAUGGAUCACCUCCUUUCUAUGGAGUUAAUCAUAGUUAAAGAAUAAAAGCUGAGCGAAUCGAUAAAACAGCUUUUGAUUAUAUACUGGUUCUAUCUAGUUUUCAGAGAUUGUGAGCGCUUUAAAAAGCGUUUUUGAUUUCUGAGAAUCGUUCUUUGAAAACUGAAUAUUAGAUGAAAAAAGACAUUUUAAUUUUUCUUACGUUUCAUAAAUAACGUAAAACAGUAACUUAAAAAUUACUAAGAAAAACUGAAAUUUCAUAUUUAUUAGAUUAUCUAUAAUGCAAAAUAGGAUUUCUUUUUAAGAAAGUAUAGUAAGGGCAUAUGGUGAAUGCCUUGGAAAAUGGAGCCGAUGAAGGACGUGACUACCUGCGAAAAGUUUCGGGGAGCUGGAAGUAAGCUAUGAUCCGGAAAUGUCCGAAUGGGGAAACCUGCUAUGAUUAAUCUCAUAGCGUUUAUGACUGAAUACAUAGGUUAUAUAACGGGAACCUAGGGAACUGAAACAUCUUAGUACCUAGAGGAAUAGAAAACGAAUGUGAUUCUGUAAGUAGCGGCGAGCGAAAGCGGAACAGGCCAAACCGGUCUACGGGCCGGGGUUGUAGGACUCUUGUUAGAGUUACAAAAUCAGUGUAUAGCAGAAUGUGCUGGGAAGCACAAGCGUAGAGGGUGAUACUCCCGUAUGCGAAAUGCACUGAUCUCGAUAGAGUAUCCUGAGUACGGCGGGGCACGUGAAACCUUGUCGGAAUCUACCCAGACCACUGGGUAAGCCUAAAUACUACCAUUUUACCGAUAGUGAACCAGUACCGUGAGGGAAAGGUGAAAAGUACCCCGUGAGGGGAGUGAAAUAGUCCCUGAAACCAUAUGCUUACAAGAAGUUAGAGCCCGUUAAUGGGUGAUAACGUGCUUUUUGUAGAAAGAGCCGGCGAGUUACGAUAACAUGCGAGGUUAAGUAGAAUAUACGGAGCCGUAGUGAAAGCGAGCCUUAAUAGGGCGUUUAGUAUGUUGUCGUAGACACGAAACCAGGUGAUCUAGCCAUGAGCAGGUUGAAGUUAGGGUAAAACCUAAUGGAGGACCGAACCAACGUUCGUGAAAAGAC